rnacentral:rRNA from 1 species
AUUGAACGCUGGCGGCGUGCUUAACACAUGCAAGUCGAGCGGUAAGGCCCUUUCGGGGGUACACGAGCGGCGAACGGGUGAGUAACACGUGGGUGACCUGCCCUCAGCUCUGGGAUAAGCCUGGGAAACCGGGUCUAAUACCGGAUAUGACUCCAUGACGCAUGUUGUGGGGUGGAAAGCCUUGUGCGGCUGAGGAUGGGCCCGCGGCCUAUCAGCUUGUUGGUGGGGUGAGGCCUACCAAGGCGACGACGGGUAGCCGGCCUGAGAGGGCGACCGGCCACACUGGGACUGAGACACGGCCCAGACUCCUACGGGAGGCAGCAGUGGGGAAUCUUGCGCAAUGGGCGAAAGCCUGACGCAGCGACGCCGCGUGAGGGAUGACGGCCU